ensembl:ncRNA lncRNA:CR45179 long non-coding RNA:CR45179
UAAGUACAAUAACGAACUAAAUGUAACAUAUUUGAUAGAAAUUUCACAGGGUAUCUGUUAGUCAAUAAGAGGAACUAAAGUUUUUCAGCCGCUGUUCAUGAUUUCCCACACAAAUUGCUUUCGAUGGAAGAGAGGAUAUCUGGAUGCCUGGCCAUCAAACUGGACCACAUCGCGUGGUAGACAUCAAGCAUCGAAAGACCCAUCCAAGCCAGGCGCAAUCCACCCAAAAGCCAGCCCACUGCUUUGCACCAAAGUGAUGAGUUCCGCAAUCUGUAGAGUAUUUCCAAGGCGAAUUCUCAAAACUUUUUGGGACAAUAAACACUUCAAAUGCCAAACGGCAAAAGGCAAACACUCUUCAGACAUGAGAGCAAACUGAAAUCCAGAUUCGCAUUGUUGUCCACAGCCAGAUUUGAUUGUUUUUAUUCCCAUUUUUUUCUCUGGAUUUUGGUUUUUGUUCGCCGGUCGGUCAGUGAGGGAAGAAAUUCUAUGGCCAUUCAGCGGGAGAGAUGCUUUCUCUCUAUUGUCCGGGGAAAUGCUCAUGUUUCUCAGCUUUCUUUGAGCACAAAUUAAAGUUCGACUAGAUGCAGCGCUUAAAAAAUAAAACUGUUAUUUAUGCUCGUAUAGCGCCGGAGGUGGUACCGUUAUGACCUAUCAACGGAAUGAAGUCGAAGCGGCUGAACACCAACUCCCCCCGCGCGUAAACUUUACAUAAGAUAUUAAUUAUGAUUUAAGGCCAACUCAAGCGGCUCUUGGCCAACUUCUGCGUAGCCAUAACACACAUCCAUCCAUAACAUAUUCCUCGCUCCGCCAGCAGUUUAAUCAAAACAAC